ACAGGAAAGAAUCUAGCAUGGAUAGAAGAUUGACUGACUGGCAGGAAGCAAACAGACAGAAUAAAGGAUGCCUAUUCUGGUUGACUGCCAGUAGCUAGAGAUUGAAGGCUACCCAGAUGGAAUAGAAGGUGUUGCUCCCCCACCCUGAUGAUGACCUCACUACGGCACAAGAGGAGGCCGUUGUCGCUUAUUGCUACAAUGGAUUAAUUUUGCUUUAUUCAGCAUAUACAGAAACAUAAUAGAAUCAAUGAAAGACCGCACCCAACAGGACAGACAAAUAACCAAGGUGCAAAAGACAACAAACAGUGUAAAUACAAAAGAGAAACAAAUAAUCAAUAAAUAUCAAGAAGAUGAAAUGAAGAGUCCUUAAAGGUUGAGUGUGUUGCAUAUUUAAUAUAUCAGUAAUAUUUGAGUAAUAUUGUAAAUAUGUUGUUGAUUAAGUAUUCCUUGUUUGUUUAACUGAUUCAUUAUGGGUUAUAUGUGCAAGUACAUAAAUGACAUACUUUAUCACACCACCAUGUCAUACAUGCACACCAUGAUUAAAGUAAAAAUGAAACUAAACAUACUUGAGUUAUCUCCCAACUCCAUGUUUUUCUUUUAAUUAAUUUUUAUAGCUUGGAGCUACAAAACAUAACAGUGGUGAUGAGGAGGUUUUAAGUGAACUUGAGACAACCUACUUCAACCUGUUGCAGCGCAGCAAGACAAUUGAGUAAGAAAAAAGCAGCGCAGCACCUGCUUUCUUUCUUUGCAAGGGGAGAAAGUUGGUCGUUAAAAAAAAGCCGGAAAUGAACAAAUUCAUGGGUUCAUAAACAGUGAAUACUGGGUGAUUAUAACCAUAAAUAAAAAAUGUACAAACGGCUAGCUACGUCAGAAUGAUAGAUGUGCUAGGUUGCACAAGAGAUAACUGGAAUAUGUAUACUGAGCAAAGUGACAGUAUUUAGAAAUGAAAAUAGCCAAUGAAUCAAGUGCCAAUUUUGCUGAGUGCAUUUGGUGGAAAAGCAUACAGUUUGAUAAGGAGUUUGACUGCUCCAACCAAACUUGCCAAAAUGAGUUUUGUUGAUAUCCUGAAAGUAGUGUAGGAACACUUAGAACUGAAACCAUAUUCAAUUGCAAAAUGCUUUAGGGUUCCUAAGCAGAAUCAAAAAGAGGAGGAAUCCACUUCAGCUUACGAGGCUGAAUUGAAGAUGAUGUUUAAACAUUUUCAGUUUGAUAAUGGGCUUAAUUAUGCUCUGAGAGAUGGUUUAGGUUAUGGAAUCUUACAUGAAAGCUUUUGGAAAUGGCUACUAACUGAAGCACAGCUUAUAGCAAUUUCUACUGCUCUUUUAAAUGUAUCAAUGGAAACAAUAGACAGAGAUACAAUUGAGUUGUAAACACAAAGUACACUGCAGAUGUUGUGAU